UUAUGGCUAAGCCCUCAAAGGUAAUUCCAGCAAACACAAAAAUUGACAAGUGGGUUCUAAUCAAUCUAAACAUCUUCUGCACAGGAAAAGAAACUAUCAAGGGAGUAAACAGAAAACCUACAGAAUGGAAGAAAAUAUUUGCAAACUAUGCAUCCGUCAAAGGUUUAAUAUCCCACAUCUAUGAGGAAUUUAAAUCAACAAGCAAAGAAACCAAGUAACCUCAUCAAAAAGUGUGCAAAGAACAUGAACAGACACUUCUAAAGAGAAAACAUACAAGUGGCCAAGAAACAUAUGAAAAAAGGUUCAUGAUUGCUAGUCAUCAGAGAAAUGCAAAGAAAUUGUCUCUAAAAGGUCCUGAUGCUCCACCGGUGAAUGGUAAAGCCUGGGGAAAAUAAAUAUGACUUCUGUGACAUCAGUUAUAUUAAUGGGGACUCUGGAGCACUAUUGAAAUAGUUCCUUGCGGGUGUGAGAGGAAGGUCCUCACUGUGGGAGGAUGGAACACGGAAGAGGAAAGCAAAGCAGGAUGAACACAGAGUGAGACAGCCAGGCACAGCAAGGCAGCAGCUUCUGUUUCCUGCAGAGAUCAAGGAAUACAGGUGUCUGAAGCUUAAGGACAGGUGGCCUAUUGACUCUGCGUAGAGCAAUGGUGCUCACUUGGCAACACUCACAAUUGAAUCAGUGUCAAAUUGGUAUGUGUGGAGUAGAGUUUGGACAAGGCGAGUCCUACUCUACCUGUAACUGGCAAUGUCAUCUAGGGAACUGUGUAAGUACUUAUGUACCCUCUAUAGGCUCCCCUUUAUGAGAUCCCAAGAAUUGAAGAGUACUGCAAGUUUGAUCCUACUUACCCUAACUGGAUUAACCAAAUCUUGCCUACUUGUGUUUAUUACUAGUACUAAAUAUGAUCUAUGGUGAUAUUCGCUCCUUUUAUUAAUUCAUAUUAAACUUAUGGUAUACUAGAAUUUUGAGUAUUAUCUCAUACGUAGC
rnacentral:lncRNA from 1 species